rnacentral:rRNA from 1 species
GACGAACGCUGGCGGCGUGCUUAACACAUGCAAGUCGAGCGAAUGGAUUAAGAGCUUGCUCUUAUGAAGUUAGCGGCGGACGGGUGAGUAACACGUGGGUAACCUGCCCAUAAGACUGGGAUAACUCCGGGAAACCGGGGCUAAUACCGGAUACCAUUUUGAACCGCAUGGGUCGAAAUUGAAAGGCGGCCUCGGCUGCCACUUAUGGAUGGACCCGCGUCGCAUUAGCUAGUUGGUGAGGUAACGGCUCACCAAGGCAACGAUGCGUAGCCGACCUGAGAGGGUGAUCGGCCACACUGGGACUGAGACACGGCCCAGACUCCUACGGGAGGCAGCAGUAGGGAAUCUUCCGCAAUGGACGAAAGUCUGACGGAGCAACGCCGCGUGAGUGAUGAAGGCUUUCGGGUCGUAAAACUCUGUUGUUAGGGAAGAACAAGUGCUAGUUGAAUAAGCUGGCACCUUGACGGUACCUAACCAGAAAGCCACGGCUAACUACGUGCCAGCAGCCGCCGUAA